rnacentral:rRNA from 1 species
GACGAACGCUGGCGGCGUGCUUAACACAUGCAAGUCGAACGAAGUCGCGAACGGGUGAGUAACGCGUCAUCAACCUGCCCUUCAGAAGGGGACAACAGUUGGCACCGACUGCUAAUACCGCAUACGGCAGUAGGGGGGUGCGUCUGCUUAGCUAGUUGGAGGGGGAACGGCCCACCAAGGCGAGGAUAAGUAGCCUGUCUUGGAGGAUGAACGGCCACAUUGGGACUGAGACACGGCCCAGACCUCUACGGGAGGGAGCAGUGGGGAAUCUUUCGAAAUGGACGAAAGUCUGACGGAGCAAAGGCGCGUGAGGGAUGACGGCUUUCGGGUUGUAAAGCUCUGUUAAGCGGGACGCGGUACCGGAAUAGAAAGCCACGGCUAACUACGUGCCAGCAGCCGCGGUAAUUC